rnacentral:lncRNA from 10 species
CAUUAUAUACCACUGAAGGCUGCAGCUCAGCCUAGGCCUCGGGCCCAUGGCAGUGCAGUCUCAGGGGUCUCUGCUCCUGGAAAGCCUCCUGCCCCCGCCCUGCCUGCAGCCUGCCUGGGAGGAGGGAGAGUCCCCAUCGGGCCGGGCUCCUGCAGACCAGAUGUGCCUUUCAUCCACAGGGAGAGCUGGUGACGGCCUCCAAGGCCAUCAUUGAAAAGGAGUACCAGCCCCACGUCAUUGUGAGCACCACGGGCCCCAACCCCUUCACCACACUCACAGACCGUGAGCUGGAGGAGUACCGCAGGGAGGUGGAGAGGAAGCAGAAGGGCUCUGAAGAGAAUCUGGACGAGGCUAGAGAACAGAAAGAAAAGAGUCCUCCAGACCAGCCUGCGGUCCCCCACCCGCCUCCCAGCACUCCCAUCAAGCUGGAGGAAGGUGAGCUCUGGGUGGCAGCGGCCGC